CACGUAGGGGACGAGCGUUGUCCGGAUUCAUUGGGCGUAAAGCGCGCGUAGGCGGCUCGGAAAGUCGGUCGUGAAAUGCCGGGGCUCAACCCCGGGACUGCGUCCCGAUACGUUCCGGGCUGGAGUGAGGUAGGGAGAUCGGAAUUCCUGGUGUAGCGGUGAAAUGCGCAGAUAUCAGGAGGAACACCGGUGGCGAAGGCGGUCAACUGGCCCUCAACUGACGCUGAGGCACGAAAGCGUGGGAUCAACAGG
rnacentral:rRNA from 1 species